GAGAGCUGCUUUGAUCUUGUGUGUACAUUAGAUGACUGCCAGGGGCAUGAAGGGGAUGUGCUUCCAGGGCAUUUGCUGGCAGGGCGUCUCGUGAUCUCUUGGUAUUGGUGUGAGCACAGCCUGGCAGGAGAGGGCAGAUCUCCAUGCAAAGUAUGUCAGAAAGCAGAUGGAAGCCAGGCCCCCUCCUGAAAGAGGCUCCUUGAAGAUAAUUCUAACAUCUUUGUCAUCAGUGUUGACAUCUCUUGAUUGUAUCCUGUCAUUCCAUUUGAGAUCUUCCUGGUUCUGGCUGGCAUCCUCUGACAUCACUCCAGCAGAAGAAAGGGAAGGAACACGCUGCAUUACUGCGUGGUCACAAGGUCCCCGUCUGAUCUGCCUUCACUCCACCUUUCAGAGUCUUAUGUUUGUUUUGUGUAUAUUAUCAAGGGGUUUUAGGUCACUUAGUCGGAAGAAUAGGGAAAAGUAUGUCUACUCCAGCUUAAUGGAAGUGGAAUUCUCCUGAGAACCUUUUUUUGAUACAAAAUAUGUACUUGUGCAUAUUUUGUAUCAAAAUAUAUAAUGUACAUGUCCCUUUUGUACAUGUAUAUAAAUUGUAUAUAAAUAUUUAGGGUUAUAAAAAUAACCAAAGACACCAAAAA
rnacentral:lncRNA from 1 species